GACGAGGGCGCGAGCGUUGUCCGGAUUUAUUGGGCGUAAAGAGCUCGUAGGCGGUUCGUCGCGUCGGCUGUGAAAACCCGGAGCUCAACUCCGGGCCUGCAGUCGAUACGGGCGGACUCGAGUUCGGCAGGGGAGACUGGAAUUCCUGGUGUAGCGGUGAAAUGCGCAGAUAUCAGGAGGAACACCGGUGGCGAAGGCGGGUCUCUGGGCCGAUACUGACGCUGAGGAGCGAAAGCGUGGGGAGCGAACAGG
rnacentral:rRNA from 1 species